rnacentral:lncRNA from 1 species
UGGUUGUUGUUGGUAAUACGGUGGUGGUGGUUGUUGUUGGUAAUACGGUGGUGGUGGUUGAUGUUGGUAAUAUGGUGGUGGUUGUUGUUGUUGGUAAUAUUGUGGUGGUGGUUGUUGUUGGGAAUAUUGUGGUGGUUGUUGUUGAUGGAAAUAUGGUUGUUGCAUUCAGGGAUCGUCCAAAUAGAACGGGUCAGACACAAUCAUUUCUGGAUUUGUAUUUGCUCUAUACCAAUCCACAUAUUCCCUUGUCGACUUCAUUUCGUUGGGCGCCACCGGAAAUUGUAG